GCCAGGUGUGGUGGCGUAUGCCUGUAGUCCCAGCUACUUGGGAGGCUCAGACAGGAGAAUCACUUGAGCCCGGGAGGUGGAGACUGCAGUGAGCAGAGAUCGUGCCACUGCAGUCCAGCCUGGGCAACAGAGUGAGACUCUGUCUCAA
ensembl:misc_RNA Metazoa_SRP Metazoan signal recognition particle RNA